GAUGAAGAACGUAGCGAAAUGCGAUACGUAAUGUGAAUUGCAGAAUUCAGUGAAUCAUCGAAUCUUUGAACGCAUAUUGCGCUCUCUGGUAUUCCGGAGAGCAUGCUUGUUUGAGUAUCAGUAAACACCUCAACUUCCAUAUCUUUUUUGAAAUGGGAGUUGGACUUGAGUGAUCCCAACGCUUUUCCUCACCGAAAAGUGGCGGGUUACUUGAAAUGCAGGUGCAGCUGGACUUUUCUCUGAGCUAUAAGCAUAUCUAUUUAAUCUGCCUAAAAACAGAUUAUUACCUUUGCUGCAGCUAACAUAAAGGAGAUUAGUUCUUGUGCUGACUGAUGCAGGAUUCACAAAGACAGGCUUCGGCCGACUUUGUAAACUCGAUCUCAAAUCAAGUAAGACUACCCGCUGAACUUAAGCAUAUCAAUAAGCGGAGGA
rnacentral:misc_RNA from 1 species